GAUGAACGCUAGCUACAGGCUUAACACAUGCAAGUCGAGGGGAAACGACAUCGAAAGCUUGCUUUUGAUGGGCGUCGACCGGCGCACGGGUGAGUAACGCGUAUCCAACCUGCCCACCACUUGGGGAUAACCUUGCGAAAGUAAGACUAAUACCCAAUGAUAUCCCACGAAGGCAUCCGAAUGGGAUUAAAGAUUUAUCGGUGAUGGAUGGGGAUGCGUCUGAUUAGCUUGUUGGCGGGGUAACGGCCCACCAAGGCUACGAUCAGUAGGGGUUCUGAGAGGAAGGUCCCCCACAUUGGAACUGAGACACGGUCCAAACUCCUACGGGAGGCAGCAGUGAGGAAUAUUGGUCAAUGGGCGAGAGCCUGAACCAGCCAAGUAGCGUGCAGGACGACGGCCCUAUGGGUUGUAAACUGCUUUUAUAAGGGAAUAAAGUGAGUCUCGUGAGGCUUUUUGCAUGUACCUUAUGAAUAAGGACCGGCUAAUUCCGUG
rnacentral:rRNA from 1 species